ACGCACGUUGGCGGCGUGCUUAAUCCCUGCCAGUCAACUGAAGCAGUGGUAGCAAUAUCGCUGUGGAGGUGGCGCACGGGUGAGUAACACGUAGGUAAUCUGCCUUCAGGUCUGGCAUAACUCCGGGAAACCGGGGCUAAUAGCAGAUGAUGCAGCGGCUCGACAUCGAGACAGUUGUUAAAGCUAUGGCGCCUGAAGAUGAGCCUGCGUCUGAUUAGCUAGUUGGCGGGGUAACGGCCCACCAAGGCAACGAUCAGUAGCUGGUCUGAGAGGAUGAUCAGCCACACUGGAACUGAGACACGGUCCAGACUCCUACGGGAGGCAGCAGUAAGGAAUAUUGCUCAAUGGGAGAAAUCCUGAAGCAGCAACGCCGCGUGAGGGACGAAGGGCUUUUGCUUGUAAACCUCUGUAGUGAGAGAAAAAAAUCCCAAUCUUUGGGACAUGAUGGUAGCUCAAAAGUAAGCCCCGGCUAACUACGUG
rnacentral:rRNA from 1 species